GGAGCGGCGGACGGGUGAGUAACGCGUGGGAACGUGCCCUCUUGCCUGGGAUAACCACUGGAAACGGUGGCUAAAACCGGAUGAGCCCUACGGGGGAAGGAGAGGAUCGGCCCGCGUCUGAUUAGAUAGUUGGUGGGGUAACGGCCUACCAAGUCGACGAUCAGUACCUGGUUUGAGAGGAUGAUCAGGCACACUGGGACUGAGACACGGCCCAGACUCCUACGGGAGGCAGCAGUGGGGAAUCAUAGACAAUGGGGGCAACCCUGAUCUUGCCAUGCCGCGUGGACGACGAAGGCCUUAGGGUUGUAAGGUCCUUUCACUGGGGAAGAUAGUGACGGUACCCGGAGAAGAAGCCCCGGCUAACUCCGUGCCAGCAGCCGCGGUAAUACGGAGGGGGCUAGCGUUGUUCGGAAUUACUGGGCGUAAAGCGCGCGUAGGCGGGCUGUUAAGUCGGGGGUGAAAUCCCGGGGCUCAACCCCGGAACUGCCUUCGAUACUGGCAGCCUAGAGGACGGUAGAGGCUAGUGGAAUGGCGAGUGUAGAGGUGAAAUUCGUAGAUAUUCGCCGGAACACCAGUGGCGAAGGCGACUGGCUGGACCGUUACUGACGCUGAGGUGCGAAAGC
rnacentral:rRNA from 1 species